rnacentral:rRNA from 1 species
GAUGAACGCUGGCGGCGUGCCUAAUACAUGCAAGUCGAGCGAACAGACGAGGCGCUUGCUCCUCUGACGUUAGCGGCGGACGGGUGAGUCACACGUGGAUAACCUACCUAUAAGACUGGGGUAACUUCGGGGAACCGGAGCUAAUAUCGGAUAAUAUAUUGAACCGCAUGGUUCAAUAGUGCACGCCGGUUUUGCUGUCACUUAUAGAUGGUUCCGCGCUGCAUUAGCUAGUUGGUGGGGUAAAGGCUUACCAAGGCGACGAUGCGUAGCCGGUCUGAGAGGAUGAUCAGUCACACUGGAACUGAGACACGGUCCAGACUCCUACGGGAGGCAGCAGUGGGGAAUAUUGGACAAUGGGCGAAAGCCUGAUGCAGCCAUGCCGCGUGUGUGAAGAAGGUCUUCGGAUUGUAAAGCACUUUAAGUUGGGAGGAAGGGCAGUAAGUUAAUACAUUGCUGUUUUGACGUUACCAAAAGAAUAAGCAACGGCUAACUUCGUG